rnacentral:lncRNA from 1 species
AAAACUCCAACUCUAUCGGUGCAUGUACUAAGUUAUGUUCCAAUGAAAGCUACCCCACCAAAAAAAGUUCGUUUUGAGGCUAAUAAUCCAGAAAUUAAUCAAAGCAGGGCAGUAUUGAUCCAAGUAGUCAGGUUACUCAGGUAGGGGAAAUGAACAAGGCAUGCAUAUACAAUGCAUGUGCAGCAAGCAAGUAACAACUGAUGAUGGAUAACAUGUGAACUGCAACCUCUAGCCUUGAUUCCUUUUCUUGGGCCAAGAAUCAUGCCAGUUCACAGAAACUAUGCACAAAUUACCUCUUCCUCCAUGGACGCCGAUGACUUGGCUCCAUCACGGCCUGCCAUCUCUUCCUCCUCUUGUCUCCCUCGUCCGCUGCUGCUAGAACGAAGCGCUCUGUAAACGUUUCAGUGGCUCAAGAGGAGGGAAACAAACGAGUUAAGAAGGUGACAGGAACAAUCGGCAUGGGAGAAGAGGGGCGUUGGGCAGUCUUUGAAGCAGGACCUUGUGGCGCUCUCUGCAGGUGGAGGGAGGCGAGGGGCGAGGAGAAUCCAGGCGCGUGUGCUGAGAGGGGCAAGCCUGUUUCUGUUUAUAUAGAGCUCGUGUACGGCCAUACGAGGAGGAGAGAUCACACACAGCUGGGGCAACAGCACAGGAUGGGAUCGCCUGCCUUCUCCCUCCGAACCCGAAGGUAGGAGUGCCCAGUUAGCUGCUCUCCACCGUUAAAGGAAUCGAACGGUUGGCAGCAGAUUGACAGUAUUUCUCUGCUUUGAUGCUGGAACAGAAUAAAUCAAGUAUACAUACACAUAAACAAGGCCAAUAAAUUGGGAUCAAACUAGUUCAUUCCAGCAGCAAGUAUGGAGUUGAAACCAUUUAAAUAAACAAAAAAAAUAGUACCAAGAUUUAAUUGAAACUAAAUGCAGGCUGAGAUUGACUGCAUGCUCGUAUUUUUAUCUCCAAAAGAUAUAUAGAACAAUAAUACAUUUAGUUCAAAAUACAGCAAGACAUUUAGUUCUAGUUUUAGCUCGUGGCCGUUUACAAGAUGACUUAUUUUACCUUAUUUUCCGCUGACCCUCUCUUGCACAAAUAAAUCUAAAUGAUGUCACUAUUCCAACAGAUUUUCUUUUGUUUGCAUAUCUCUUUUUAACCUCAAAACCGUGUUACUCCAUAUGUAUUACAAAACUUCCAAGACUCUACCUCAUCCUGAAACUUCAUGCCAAUUUCAGGCACCAUAACAGGAAGUACGCCAUGUCUAAAACAUCAAGAGCAGGGUCUCAAUUUUCCUUAUGAGCAAUAAAACAAUAGAAGAACAACAAACAUGAGAGUUCUAUCUUUGACAUGCUGCCUCCGGGAUCAUCUCCUACCUCUCCAUUCUUAACAAGAGGUGUAUAUUGUCUAAAAACAGAUAACAAGCUAGCAGUUUGCACAAUAUUAUUGUUCUUCGUAAACUAUCAAAAAUCAGAAGAAGAAUAAGUAUGGGUGUUGUAUUAUUUGCCUUUUGUCUUCUUGAUAAUUCUUGUUCGGAUCUUCUUCCAUUAGGGAUGUUAUAUCUCAAUGUGAGAGAGAGAAAAGGAAGAAGAGAUGAUGCUCAGGUUGCAGAAUGGAGGUUUCUGGUGCCAAAACAGAGCAAGGAGGCAUUUUCCCUCCAUACGGCAAUAAAUGCAGGUCGUUUCCCUCCACUUCGUCUGUUUCCCGCGGCAUCAUGUUUCGAUUCAUCCAACCUUUAGAGGGCGAAGGCAGACGAUCCCAAUCCAACAGCACAGACUCCAUGCAUAAUCGCAUAUGGGUCCUAGUCGACACGGAGGAUCCUCAUCCCGCAAGAAUGCUACAGUUAGGCCCCAUUAAAUUCAAGGGUAUUCAAUGAAUAUCCAUUAUUUUUUGCAAAAAAAUUUCGAUAUAUACAUGUAUGUAGUGUAUAUACAUGGAAAUAGAAAAUCAAUCAAAUAAAUGAAGAAAUUCUGCUAAUUUGAACCAAAAUAUCUCCUUCCUACAUCUCAUACCUAACUAGCUCAAUAGAUUCUCGUGGCCCAUGUGGCCAUGAGACCCAACGAAGUGACAAAGUCCACCUUAUUACCUCAUAGCAAAAAAUCUCUAAACUAUAUUGUAGUCGCACCACGACAGAGCCACCAAAGCGCCAGCCGCCAAGUCAUGGUCGUGUCUUGCCGCCCCAUGUGCCCACAUGGAGACACUAGCACUUUUGUCGCGCCACCGCGUCAUCGCUAGGUGCCCAUACCUAACUGGCUAAUUGUUGUCGUCGCGUUGCACCUGACCUCAUUGCUGUACCGACCGUCGUCUGAGGCUUCGAUCCGUCGCAGUCAGGGCACCAUCACGUGCAAGUACAAACCGCCAUGGGGCAGGGUCCCAUCAUGUCAAUGUCCAAGCUCGCCUGGCUGGUGGCCACCCGAUCGUGACCUCUCCUGCUUGACCGCUUCCAGUACUUGGCUGCAGGUGAAGCCAGUAAGAGUUCCUUCGAUGUAUAAUAAUUGUGUAUCAAAAUUGAGACAUUCCAUUGCUCUGGGCUCUGCAAAACUCCAACUCUAUCGAUGCGUGUACUAAGUUAAGUUCCAAUGAAAACUACCCCACCAAAAAAAGUUCGUUUUGAGGCUAAUAAUCCAGAAAUUAAUCAAAGCAGGGCAGUAUUGAUCCAAGUAGUCAGGUAGGGGAAAUGAACAAGGCAUGCAUAUACAAUGCAUGUGCAGCAAGCAAGUAACAACUGAUGAUGGAUAACAUGUGAACUGCAACCUCUAGCCU